AUUGAACGCUGGCGGCAGGCCUAACACAUGCAAGUCGAGCGAGCGGCGGACGGGUGAGUAAUGUCUGGGAAACUGCCUGAUGGAGGGGGAUAACUACUGGAAACGGUAGCUCAUACCGCAUACCAUCAGAUGUGCCCAGAUGGGAUUAGCUAGUAGGUGGGGUAACGGCUCACCAAGGCGACGAUCCCUAGCUGGUCUGAGAGGAUGACCAGCCACACUGGAACGGAGACACGGUCCAGACUCCUACGGGAGGCAGCAGUGGGGAAUAUUGCACAAUGGGCGCAAGCCUGAUGCAGCCAUGCCGCGUGUGUGAAGAAGGCCUUCGGGUUGUAAAGCACUUUAAGUGGGGAGGCGUUACCAGCAGAAGAAGCACCGGCUAACUCCGUGCCAGCAGCCGCGGUAAUUC
rnacentral:rRNA from 1 species